UUUUUGGUUUUUGGAUUAUCAUCACGUAGUAUUUUGUUUUCACUUGGUUAUGUUUGUCCAUAUGGUGACGUAAGCCCUUUUUGUCUUGCCCUUUUUUCUGUCCGGCGUGCGUUGUAUUAUUGCGUCUGACAAAAGGGGGAAUGGUCCACUGGCAAAGUUAUAAGCUUGUUAGGAUAUAAGAUAAAGUAGGAAGUAUUAGAGACAAUGUAUCCUGUUGCCUGUUGGGGCAUAUAGGUGCAGUAGGCACAUGGGGUCUACUAAUGUAAAUAUGUAAUAGGUGAUUAAUUAGCCAAGUCAUCUAGUCCAGGGAGUAACUAGCACAAAUACAAAAUCAUAUGCAACCAUACCGACUAAUGGAUCCCUGUUGAAUGAACCGUAGCACAGUGUUGUAUCAAAUUAGCUUGCAGGACAGAACAAGGCAAAGUUAGCCAAAUCAUUACCACACGGCACGCCAUACAUAGUUGUAUAAAUUCUGAAUUUGCUAUCUUUGGCAACCAUUUCAGAAUUAAAUUCGCAUUUUAGGUCAAAGCUAUGUUCUUGAUAGACAACUCUGCAUAUUGAAUGUAAACUAAGCACAAUGGAAGCAGCAAAUUUUUUAGAACUAGCCCUCAAUCCCAUGUGUCGUGGAUAAUGGGGCAGAAGGCCUUGGGCCUGUGAAGUUCAGUUAACUAAGGUAGACAGUCUCCAGGAACCCCUGCAGUGCGAUGCCUGCGGUUGAAGCGCUCGUGGAAACUUCCCAAAGAAAUGAAGGCUACACUCAGGGUUCCCCUGGCGGACGGGUCGGAGGCAUGGGCAUCUCCUGUUCUGGGGAACAGGGCUCAGCGCAGCACAACGGAGUGGGUUUAGCCUAUCGUGACGUCAACGCAGUGCUUGAGUUAGUAGAAGGGCGUCGCUGCAGUGACUUUGUCGGAUGGGCUCGCCGGCUAAGGAGGAAGACACAGGGUCUGCGAGGAUCAAAAGGACCUGUCUUCUUUGAUGCUUUGGACUGAGGGGCUGGCCAUCAAUUCUGCACCAUCCCGACAUGCCGGUGCCUCUGCUGACAGCACAAUUGAGAUAUCGUUGUACCACUUGCAUCGGAUAGCAAUCACCUGGCCCAUGUCAUCUCUAAUCAUCACAGCCGUGGCUCCUUGUUUACCUUCAUAGUCAAAAGAUGCAUCAACAUUUACCUUAAUCAAACCUGCAGGAGGCUUUUGCCAUUUUGUUACUUUGA